CCUACGGGUGGCAGCAGUGGGGAAUAUUGGGCAAUGGGCGCAAGCCUGACCCAGCAACGCCGCGGGAAGGAAGAAGGCUUUCGGGUUGUAAACUUCUGUUGUCAGGGACGAAGCAAGUGACGGUACCGGACGAAUAAGCCACGGCUAACUACGGGCCAGCAGCCGCGGGAAUACGUAGGUGGCAAGCGUUAUCCGGAUUUACUGGGUGUAAAGGGCGUGGAGGCGGGCCUGCAAGUCAGAUGUGAAAACCACGGGCUCAACCUGUGGCCUGCCUUUGAAACUUUAGUUCUUGAGUACUGGAGAGGCAGCCGGAAUUCCUAGUGUAGCGGUGACAUGCGUAGAUCUUAGGAGGAACCCCAGUGGCGAAGGCGGUCUGCUGGACAGCACCUGACGCUGAGGCGCG
rnacentral:rRNA from 1 species